rnacentral:rRNA from 1 species
UACGUAGGGUGCAAGCGUUGUCCGGAAUUAUUGGGCGUAAAGAGCUCGUAGGCGGUCUGUCGCGUCGGCUGUGAAAACUCGGGGCUCAACUCCGAGCUUGCAGUCGAUACGGGCAGGCUAGAGUUCGGCAGGGGAGACUGGAAUUCCUGGUGUAGCGGUGAAAUGCGCAGAUAUUAGGAGGAACACCGGUGGCGAAGGCGGGUCUCUGGGCCGAUACUGACGCUGAGGAGCGAAAGCGUGGGGAGCGAACAGG